UCUCCCUUUUUCUCCCUUCUCCAUUUUAUUUUCUCUACUAUCAAUUCUAGUCCUGUCAGAGAAAUAAAACCAAAGAUUUUCUCUGUAUAUCUUCACUUCUCUCUCUCUCUCUCUCUCUUUCUCUCUCUCAAUCGCUCGCUCUGUUCCUCCAUGGAAAAUGCAGCUGUGCAGCCAUCUCAUAUAUAUAAAAUGAAGAAGAAAGACGAAGUGCAACUAGCAGCUUUCAUGUUGGAAAAUCUUCAAUCUUCAGUAAAAGAGAAAGAGACAUCUUCAAAUGUCCAAAGAAAGAGAUGCAUGUGAAUUAAUCGAGAGAGAGACGGAGGUGGGAAGCUGAUAACAGGAAAUACAGUGUGCUGGGUUUUACAGAGGCGCUGAUGGCUCCAGCAACAUUUCUGUCGCUUUUGUUCCUUAAACAGUUUUUAAAAAAUACAUAGCGUAUUGUAAUGUUGUGUUUUGACUUAUUAAGCGAACCAAGUACUUGUUGACCCUUUAGCUUGGUGAUAAAGGAAGACCAUCAGCACUUGUUUACAUUUAUCCAUAGUGGUUUACAACAGAGCAGUUGAGAGUUAAGGGCCUUGCUCAAUGACCCAGGAGUGGCAACUUGGUGGUGUUGAUAUUUGAACUUGUGACCUUCCAAUCCAUAGUUAAAUACCUAAACUCUGAGCCAAUGAUACAUCUGUAAGUUACAAUAUAUCUCCCUUUACAGAUUUAUAUAAUGGUAUACGUUUUAUCGUUUUUUUUUUUUUAAGAGAAAUGCUUGAAAUGUGUGUGUGUGUGUGUGUGUGUGUGUGUGUGUGUGUGUGUGUGUGAGUGUGUGUGUGUGUGUGUGUGUUUGUGUUGAGAUUGGAAUGACCAUGAACAGCUUGUCUGCCUAACUAAGCAUCAAUAUGAAUGCCAAAUCAAUAUCAAAAUCCAAACAUGUAUAAGAACAGCGUUAAUACCUUAACCACUUACCUACCACUUCCCAUGCUACCUACUCCCACCUUGUUCCCAAGGUAAUAUAGCAAAUUUAAUGUGAAAAUUUCAUUAAGGUUUAUUUGCAUAGUUCUUUAAACAAUGUUCUAAAUCGUUCUAAAGCAACUUUACAGAAAUAAACCGAUAAAUAUACAAUAUAUCCCAGACGUUUAUCCCCAAGUCCAUCUGUUCAGUGUUAAAUGUUAUGCUGAGAAAUGGCCUUACUGUCUUUUUUGCAACUUUGCACACACAUAUGUUUGCAUAAUAUGGGUGAACCACAUAUUAUGGCAAAAAUCUGAUAAUAUGUGUAUAUCUCAUGAUACAACAAAUCCAAAAUUUGUGACAAUUUAGAUAAUGCUGGUUUGGGAAGAUUCAAUUGACAGAAAAUUCCAAAUGGACUGUGAAGUCAGUAAAUGGACAUUAUACUAGUAUCCAUUAAAGUAGGCAUGACUAGGCAAAGUGUAUAAAAAUCUCUGUAUUGCAUUGUGGGGUGUAUUUUAUAUAUACAAAUACAUUUUAAUUUACACUUGUUAUUGCAGUUGAAGCAAACAUGCUCUGUAGUUGGGAAUCUAUUACUGUACCAGAUUUCUAUGUGCUACAACAGACUUUAAUGUCAAAAGGUUUUAAUUUGAAAACCAUAUGCAAUGUAAUAGAGUAUGAAUGCAUUUUCAUUUAAUAUUCAUUUCAUGACUGUAUCUAAGCACUAUCUACUAUAAAUAAUUAAGUCUGUAAACUUUAAUUCCCAGAUUGUGUAAAAAAAUUCUCCUACCCAAAUAAAAGUCAAGUAGAUAUGCAAAGCUUGUGCUUUCCCCUCUACAAUGUAGAGCUGUCAUACAGAAGAGUGAACAAGUGUCAACCCUGUGAUUGAUGCUGGAUCACUCUAGGGACAACCAAAGCCUCUUUAUAGUCUGUAUAUAUACUGCAUUUAUUGCCUUCCUGUCAUAGAAUAUAUAAGUCUGAGAAAUAUGUCAAGUGUGAAAUAAGGUUAUCGCUAACUUUGUGUCUUUGCUAACAUUGCUAACAGAAAUUGAAAAACACAAUGCUAGUUGAUAUUAUUUCUAGACAAAAAAGCCACCGCAUCUUUCUUUGACUGUUAAGUUCAACUGUUGAACAUUUUAGCUUUGGGCUAGAAAUCGGUAAUAUUGUCUUAUAUAAAUUUUAAAUACAAACACGUCCGCUUAAAAUCUAGAAGUAAGAAUGACAGGGAAAUGUAGUAGUGUAUAAUAAAAUGCUGCUGUAAACAUGAUGUUAAAUAGGUUUUUAAACGAUACAAUUAUUUUUUGUCAUAGUCUCCAUUUAUUAUAGUUUUGACAAAUAAAAUUUGCUUA